rnacentral:rRNA from 1 species
CCUACGGGGGGCAGCAGUCGAGAAUCAUUCACAAUGGGGGAAACCCUGAUGGUGCGACGCCGCGUGGGGGAAUGAAGGUCUUCGGAUUGUAAACCCCUGUCAUGUGGGCGCAAAUUAAAAAGAUAGUACCACAAGAGGAAGAGACGGCUAACUCUGUGCCAGCAGCCGCGGUAAUACAGAGGUCUCAAGCGUUGUUCGGAAUCACUGGGCGUAAAGCGUGCGUAGGCUGUUUCGUAAGUCGUGUGUGAAAGGCGGGGGCUCAACCCGCGGACGGCACAUGAUACUGCGAGACUAGAGUAAUGGAGGGGGAAGCGGAAUUCUCGGUGUAGCAGUGAAAUGCGUAGAUAUCGAGAGGAACACUCGUGGCGAAGGCGGGUUCCUGGACAUUAACUGACGCUGAGGCACGAAGGCCAGGGGAGCGAAAGGGAUUAGAUACCCUGGUAGUC